CCACAUGUUAGCAAAAGACACAAAAAUACACAUAAAUACAUAACUCCUAUCAUACUGAACCGAACCAAACAGCGCUCAGAUCCCACAAAUACAGUCAAAUCGCCAUACACACUAGGUCCAUAGUCAUGGGGCAGAAGGCUGGCAGUUAGGCUUCUCCAUAACACAGGGAAGCAGGGCAAUUUGUCAAAUAAAAUAACAGUUACAAAUGGCAGUCUGUAACAGGUACAUCCACCAGAAACAAUUGGCAAAUAUUGAAGUUAUAGAUAAGAACUUUUUUUGUAUAAAU